AGGACGAACGCUGGCGGCGUGCCUAACACAUGCAAGUCGAACGAGGCCAUUCCUUCGGGAGUGAGUCGAGUGGCGGACGGGUGAGUAACACGUGAGCAAUCUACCCUUGUGCGGGGGAUAACCCGGGGAAACCCGGGCUAAUACCGCAUGUUUCGAGAGAGUGGAGUCACUCGUUUUGGGAACGUGGCCUCUUUACAA
rnacentral:rRNA from 1 species